rnacentral:rRNA from 1 species
AGUGAACGCUGGCGGUAGGCCUAACACAUGCAAGUCGAACGGCAGCACAGUAAGAGCUUGCUCUUACGGGUGGCGAGUGGCGGACGGGUGAGGAAUACAUCGGAAUCUACUUUUUCGUGGGGGAUAACGUAGGGAAACUUACGCUAAUACCGCAUACGACCUACGGGUGAAAGCAGGGGAUCUUCGGACCUUCGCGAUUGAAUGAGCCGAUGUCGGAUUAGCUAGUUGGCGGGGUAAAGGCCCACCAAGGCGACGAGCCGUAGCUGGUCUGAGAGGAUGAUCAGCGACACUGGAACUGAGACACGGACCAGAGUCCUACGGGAGGCAGCAGUGGGGAACAUUGGACAAUGGGCGGAAGCAUGAUCCAGCCAUACCGCGUGGGUGAAGAAGGCCUUCGGGGUGUAAAGCCCUUUUGUUGGGAAAGAACAGCAGCAGGUUAAUACCCCGCUGUUCUGACGGUACCCAAAGAAUAAGCACCGGCUAACUUCGUG